CCGGAAACCGUUCUGGCCUCAUGUGGAGCCACACCCAGUCGCCUGGCUGGAAGAUAACUUCUGUGCGCCCCUUGUUGAGCUUAAUCCGGUUCCUUUCAGCCUUCUUCUCCAAAGUCUCCUUGACUUGCCGGUGCAUGUUCUUUACAAACUCAGCCUUUUUGUCACCACUCUGGCUGACUUGCAUGGCUGGGGGCAAUGCGGCUAGGUCCAUGGGCGUCUCUGGUCUAAAGCCAUACACGAUCUCAAAAGGGGAGAGGUUAGUAAUAGAGUGCCUUGCAUGGUUAUAAGCAAACUCAAUGAAAGGCAAACAACUCAGCCAGUUUUUAAGAUUCUUACCCACCGUAGCCCUCAAUAACUGAGAGAGUGUACGGUUUACUACCUCGGUCUGUCCAUCAGUCUGUGGAUGGCAAGUGGUCGAGAAAAGGAGCUUGGUUCCAAGCUUUUUCCACAAUGUCCUCCAGAAGUGGCUGAGAAAUUUGUGUCUCGGUCGGACACGAUGGUACGAGGCACUCCAUGUAAACGCACCACUUCCUUGAAGAAGAGAUCAGCGGUUUGGCUUGCGUCAUUGGUUUUGGAACACGGAAUGAAGUGUGCCAUCUUGGAGAACCUGUCCACUACAACAAAAAUAGAAUCCUUGUGUUCUAUCUUGGGCAAGCCCAGCACAAAGUCCAUAGACAGAUCGACCCACGGUGCAAUAGGAAUAGGUAAAGGCAUGUGUAAACCAUAAGGAUGCGACCUGGAUUUGGUUUUGAGACAGACAGUGCACUUGGAGCAAAGGCUCUCGACGUAGCGCCUCAUCCGGGGCCAAUAGAAGUGGUCGGACAGGACACUCAGAGUUUUGUCCCGACCGAAAUGCCCCAUCAAUCCACCCCCAUGAGCUUCUCUGGUCAGUAAAUCUCGCAUGGAACCAUGAGGGAUACACAGGCGUUUCUCCUUGAAGAGGAACCCGUCCUGCUGAUAGAAUGGACCCAUGGCUCCCUUAGCCGUGUUACUGUAAAGCUCAGAAAAAUCAGGGUCAGUUUCAUAAGACAUUUUGAGUUGCUCAAAACCCAUGAUCUUAGCCUCCAUGGUGGUAAUGAGUGUGUGGCGCCGGGAUAGGGCGUCGGCCACUAUGUUGUCCUUUCCCUUCUUGUACUUGAUCACAUAAGGAAAAGUUUCCACGAACUCCAGCCACCUAGCAUGCCUCUUCUUGAGUGUGGUCUGGCCCCUCAAAUGCUUAAGAGUCUCAUGAUCUGUAUGAAUAAUAAACUCUUUAGACAAAAGAUAAUGUUGCCAAGUUUCAAGCGACCUUACUAGAGCAUAUAGCUCUUUAUCAUAGGUGGGGUAAUUGAGGGCGGCUCCACUCAAUUUCUCACUGAAAAAGGCCACUGGCCGGCCUCCUUGGGUCAGCACGGCUCCUAUUCCUGUCCCUGAAGCAUCACACUCAAUCUCAAAAGGUUUAUCAAAGUUAGGAAGAGUUAGAACCGGUGCAUGUGUCAAGCUAUAUUUAAGCCUGUUGAAAGACUCCUCUUGGGCAGGGCCCCAAGCAAAGGUUACAUUCUUCUUGAUCACGGAGGUCAUUGGGGCGGCAAUGGUACUGAAGUCCUUCACAAAUCGUCGAUAGAAACUGGCCAGUCCAUGGAAGCUGCGGAUAUGUCCGAUCGUGGUUGGAGUCGGCCAGUCUUGUAUCGCCUUGAUCUUCUCUUCAUCAACCUUCAGUCCCUGUGAACUCACAACAAAGCCUAAAAAUACCAAUGAUCAGUGCAGAAUACACAUUUCUUAAGGUUAGCAUAAAGGCCUUCUUGCCUUAAGGCUUUCAAAACCUGUUCUAGGUGUCCCAUGUGUUCAGUUAAAGACCUGCUGUAAAUCAAGAUAUCAUCAAAGUAUACAACCACGAAUUUACCAAUGUAAGGUCGGAGGACCUCAUUCAUGAGUCUCAUGAAGGUGCUAGGGGCGUUGGUAAGGCCAAACGGCAUCACCAGCCACUCGUAUAGACCUUGCUUGGUCUUGAAGGCGGUUUUCCACUCAUCUCCUUCCUUCAUGCGGACUUGAUGGUAUCCACUCCUGAGAUCAAUCUUAGAAAACACAACAGACCCACUCAGUUCAUCCAACAUAUCAUCUAAUCUAGGUAUAGGGUACCGAUAUUUGAUGGUUAUGUUGUUGAUGGCUCGGCAGUCCACACACAUGCGCCAUGUCCCAUCUUUCUUAGGCACUAGUAGGACCGGGACUGCACAGGGGCUAAGGCUCUCGCGGAUGUAGCCUUUGUCCAUGAGAUCUUGGACCUGCCGUUCCAGCUCCUUAGCUUCCUCAGGGUUGACACGGUAAGCGGCUCGGUUUGGUAGUGGCGCGCCGGGUACAAGAUCGAUCUGAUGUUCUAUGCCACGGAUAGGGGGCAAUCCGGCAGGGAUCUCGUCAGGGAAGACAUCCUUGUAACGUCCCAUGAGGUCUUGUACUACGUCCGGUACUUCAGGAGCUUCUAAACCUGCAAAACAACCUUCCUUAAAGAUCAUUAGUAGCACCUGUGUCUCACGUUGUAAUGAUUUAAGCACUUGUCCGGAAGUCAUGUAAAGGUUAGUAUUACUUACCUGGCCGGAAUGCGUCAUUGCCUUCUGCAUAUCAUGAACUUCUUGAGGGCUGAGAGGUGCUAGGCUGUGCUUCUUGUUGUUGUGGACGAAACUGUAGAUGUUGGUGCGGCCAUGGUGAAGUGUCUCCUUGUCAAACUGCCACGGCCUUCCGAGAAGUAUAUGGCCUGCUUGCAUGGGCACAACAUCACACUUGACCUGGUCGUGGUACUUGCCAAUACUGAAGGACACAACAACUUGUUCGGCAAUCUUGAGCUCAGUCUCAUCAUUGAGCCAUUUGAGACGGUAUGGUCGAGGAUGGGCAGUUUUGACCAACCCUAGCUUAUCAACAAGAUACUUGCUAGCCACGUUAGUACAAGAUCCGCCAUCUAUGAUCAAACUACAUACCUUGUGAUCAACACUACAUCUGGUGUGGAAGAUGUUCUCCCGCUGGAUGGUCUCUGGGUCAAAGAGGGUGCUAAGGGCUCUCCGGGUCACUAGCAGCUCGCCUGUCUCCGGGUAGUCGGUUACUUCCUCAUCAGAGAUCGCUGCCGCGGCCUCUGCCUCAUCUUGGGAUUCAUACUCGCCAUCCCCCUUUAGGACCAUCACUCGUUUGUUUGGACAAUCCCGAGCAUAGUGGCCCUUGCCCUGACACUUAUAACAAAUGAUGUCACGAGUACGCAAAUUUUGGGCUUGAGUCUUACCCUGCUCCGGCUUAGAUGCAUUGGAUGAUUCAGCCGGGUUUGUCUUGAAUCGGCUCUCAAUCUCAAUCGUCUUGCCCUUGUCGCCUUGCUUUGAACCCGGUUGAGUCCAAGCAGGUUUGCUGCGGCUGGUACUGGCCGUCUUGCGCUUGAUGUGCUGCUCGGCUUGCGUAGCAAAGUGCAAUAGAUCGUUGAAGUCUUCAUAGUGUUGUCUCUCCACCUUGCGGGCAAUGCGGUCUUGCAGCCCUUCCAGGAAUUGGGACAUCAUUGUCUCCUCGGGCUCGUCGGUCUCAAGCUUAUUCCUAAGAGCCUCGAACUCCUCAAAGUACUCCUCCACAGUCUUAGUUCCCUGCGUAAGUUUACGAAAACGUUUUAGCACAUCACGCUGGUAGUAAGAUGGAAUGUACCUCGCGCGAAGCUUGGUCCGCAUCUCGGUCCAAUUACGCGCUCUCCACACUGGCCCGGACUUGGCAACGUCUCGAUCCCACCACGAAAGAGCAUUGUCCGUCAGCUGGGCUGCUGCUAGGGCAACCUUCUUGGCCUCACUAUAUUGGUAAUAGUCGAAGAUGUACUCCAUGCGCUUCUCCCACACGAUGUAGGCAUCCGGAUCAACCUUGCCGGCAAACGUUGGGGGAUGAAGCUUAAGUGCCUUGCCUCCCAACCAAGGCUCUUCCUCCUCUCGGUCUCGACCUCCCCUAUGGUCGCGGCCUCCUCCUACUUGGGCCCGGGGUCCUCGCGCGUUCCUCCUACCUCCCCGGUUCGGCCUCUCCUCGUCCUGACUGCGCGUAUCAUCGGUACUGUCCGCGUCCGAGUCAGUGUCAUGCGGGUCCGGCUGAUGCCUUCCUGGUGGUCGAGGUCCGUUGGGCCUGCCUCCCUGCCGUAGCUGAGCAAGCUCGGCUGUGAUAGUCCUAAGGCUCGCCCUCAGUUCUUCAUUGUCAGCUAAGAGCUGAGCGUUUAUGGCCGCUUGGUCUUGACCUACAUCUCCCAUAGUUCUCUGAGAAGAAACUCAAAGAAAGAUUAAAAGGCAAGAGGGGGUUAAAUAGUUGCUUGGGUCGGAUACUAUGAGUAUCGACCAAGGCAAAGAAUAAAUGCAAAAGUUAAGACAAAAAAAUCGAAUCAGGUUUGAAAAAGGAAAGACAGAAUUUUUUUUUUUUUUUGAAAACUUGGAGAACAAUCCGAAAAUUUUAAAAAUAAGGAAAGUGAAUAAAUUUUUUUUUUUUUGAAAACUUGGAGAACAAUCCGAAAAUUUUAAAAAUAAGGAAAGUGAAAAAAUAGAAAAAUCGAAAACUUGGAGAACAAUCCAAAAAAAUUAAGGAAAGUAAAUAUUUUUUUUUUUUUGAAUUGUGACGGCUAGGGUUCAGAAAGAACUGAGUUUCGCAGGAAACUUCAGCUCUGAUACCAAAAUGUUGUAGGCACGGGUCGGAGGGUCGGACGGACGGACGGACGCACGGACGGAUGGCCGUUCCGCGGUUCAGCUUUGCCUCGGACGGAUGGUACUGGCCGGCUCGUCUCUUGCUUGCGGUCGAACCUGAAACAGAUAGGAAACUUUAAUGAAUUUUCAACAGGAACAAGAACAGAAACAAGAUAGGAUUCUUUUGGUUUUUAUGGAAUUGGUUGAAUGAAAUCUAAAACAAAAGAUAAAGAAAGGAGUAGAUUGGCGGAUGGGAUCAGCUGCUGGACGUAUGUCUCUCUCAGCUAGAUGCCUAGGUCGGACAGAAAGAUAGGUAUGGAUCCGGCUCUUGCUGGACGUAUGUCUCUCUCAAGAUUCGGACAAGGAAUGGAAUGGAUCGAAGGACGCCACAAAGAACAAUGGAUCGGCUCUUUGAUAUGUCACACGGCUGCUCUCAAUGUUUCACACAACUGAAAGACUUAGGGUUUCCUUUGCUAAAGCAAAUCGAUUUCAUAAAAGACUUAGCCGAAAAGUUGGCAACUACAAGGGUUUAAAUAGAUGUUCCUUACUGGACUUAAAGAUUAAAAAGGCCUAGACAAAUGGCCAAAGUCUUAACCGAAAUAAAAAUAAAGAAAACAAUAGACCGGUCGCGGUUUGAGAUGUCCGGAUCAGAACUCAUAGUAUGCUUGCUUGUUGCCUCAUUAAAACCUUUCGGGAAAACCCAGUGGGACAAAACCUCGAUAAGGAAAAAGAGUACAACACAUACUACUCCUUCUGAUGGUCGGCUAUAUCUCUGAACCGGAAGCAAGUUGGUUGGAUGGAUUGAGUAUGAAGGUGGAAAUGGUCAGGCCGGCUUCAUUCUGGCCGAUGGAGGAGAACUGGCUCGAAUGGACAGGGUCUGGAACCUCUAGUGGUUCACCGGUGUCUUCCAGCUUCAAGUCAGACAACUCCUGGAUCAAUAGUUGCUUGAACCCGGUUUGUUCUUGUGCAAGCAACUCCUGGACAGCUUUGGCAAAUCCAGCUCUUAUAACUCUUGAACCGGACCUUGUGGUAGGGCCUUUGCGGAUAAUGGGAACCUCAGUCGUGGGUACUACAACAUCCCCUCCCUCUUGACCAGGUUCUGUCCUCAGAACAUCUUUAUCAUCUGCAAUAUAAGGAGACAAAUCAGAUACAUUGAACGUUCGGGAAACUUGGAACUCACCUGGCAGCUCUAGCCGGUAGGCAUUGUCAUUGAUCCGAUCGAGCACUCGGAAUGGUCCAUCUCCCCGUGGGGAUAAUUUGCUCUUCCUCUCCUCCGGAAACCGUUCUGGCCUCAUGUGGAGCCACACCCAGUCGCCUGGCUGGAAGAUAACUUCUGUGCGCCCCUUGUUGAGCUUAAUCCGGUUCCUUUCAGCCUUCUUCUCCAAAGUCUCCUUGACUUGCCGGUGCAUGUUCUUUACAAACUCAGCCUUUUUGUCACCACUCUGACUGACUUGCAUGGCUGGGGGCAAUGCGGCUAGGUCCAUGGGCGUCUCUGGUCUAAAGCCGUACACGAUCUCAAAAGGGGAGAGGUUAGUAAUAGAGUGCCUUGCAUGGUUAUAAGCAAACUCAAUGAAAGGAAAACAACUCAGCCAGUUUUUAAGAUUCUUACCCACCGUAGCCCUCAAUAACUGAGAGAGUGUACGGUUUACUACCUCGGUCUGUCCAUCAGUGUGUGGAUGGCAAGUGGUCGAGAAAAGGAGCUUGGUUCCAAGAUUUUUCCACAAUGUCCUCCAGAAGUGGCUGAGAAAUUUGUGUCUCGAUCUCGAGGCACUCGUAAACGCACCAUGGUACGAGGCACUCCAUGUAAACGCACCACUUCCUUGAAGAAGAGAUCAGCGGUUUGGCUUGCGUCAUUGGUUUUGGAACACGGAAUGAAGUGUGCCAUCUUGGAGAACCUGUCCACUACAACAAAAAUAGAAUCCUUGUGUUCUAUCUUGGGCAAGCCCAGCACAAAGUCCAUAGACAGAUCGACCCACGGUGCAAUAGGAAUAGGUAAAGGCAUGUGUAAACCAUAAGGAUGCGACCUGGAUUUGGUUUUGAGACAGACAGUGCACUUGGAGCAAAGGCUCUCGACGUAGCGCCUCAUCCGGGGCCAAUAGAAGUGGUCGGAUAGGACACUCAGAGUUUUGUCCCGACCGAAAUGCCCCAUCAAUCCACCCCCAUGAGCUUCUCUGGUCAGUAAAUCUCGCAUGGAACCAUGAGGGAUACACAGGCGUUUCUCCUUGAAGAGGAAUCCGUCCUGCUGAUAGAAUGGACCCAUGGCUCCCUUAGCCGUGUUACUGUAAAGCUCAGAAAAAUCAGGGUCAGUUUCAUAAGACAUUUUGAGUUGCUCAAAACCCAUGAUCUUAGCCUCCAUGGUGGUAAUGAGUGUGUGGCGCCGGGAUAGGGCGUCGGCCACUAUGUUGUCCUUUCCCUUCUUGUACUUGAUCACAUAAGGAAAAGUUUCCACGAACUCCAGCCACCUAGCAUGCCUCUUCUUGAGUGUGGUCUGGCCCCUCAAAUGCUUAAGAGUCUCAUGAUCUGUAUGAAUAAUAAACUCUUUAGACAAAAGAUAAUGUUGCCAAGUUUCAAGCGACCUUACUAGAGCAUAUAGCUCUUUAUCAUAGGUGGGGUAAUUGAGGGCGGCUCCACUCAAUUUCUCACUGAAAAAGGCCACUGGCCGGCCUCCUUGGGUCAGCACGGCUCCUAUUCC
rnacentral:lncRNA from 1 species